UAGAUACCCCACUAUGCUUAGCCCUAAAUCUUGACACUUCCCCGACCAAAGUGUCCGCCUGAGAACUACGAGCACAAACGCUUAAAACUCUAAGGACUUGGCGGUGCCUCAAACCCACCUAGAGGAGCCUGUUCUAUAAUCGAUAACCCACGCUACACCCGGCCGCUCUUUGCACGUUCAGCCUACAUACCGCCGUCGCCAGUCCACCUAUCCUGAGAGAACAACAGUGAACGCAAUAGCCUUAACCACGCUAAAAAGACAGGUCAAGGUAUAGCCAAUAGAGCGGAAGAAAUGGGCUACAUUUUCUAACUUAGAAAACUACGAAAGGGGACAUGAAACCGCCCCCAGAAGGCGGAUUUAGCAGUAAAGCUGGAUCAUAGUGCCAUCUUUAAACCGGCCCCGGGGCACGUACAUACCGCCCGUCACCCUCCUCGCAAGCUACUCACAUAAGUAAUUAACAUUAACUUUUAGCCAAAGAUGAGGU
rnacentral:rRNA from 1 species